rnacentral:misc_RNA from 1 species
GUUUUCCUGCAUUAAAUUCACAUAUCAUAAGAUUCUACUUGCCCAUAAUAUGGAUGAAGAGACUAAUAAAAGUAAACACAAACCUUACCAAACAGUAAGCUAAAAAGCUUAAAUAUGGGACAAACACAUUCAACUGAAAAAAAUUGGCCACAGACCAAGUCUCACUACAUAUGAUUAACCAUCAUAGGCGACUUUUAAGCAUUCAAAAUCCAUGGAGGCUACUUCUAAAUAUUCAAAAUCUAUGGAGGAAAACGGCAUUUAAAAGGAGGAUUAUACACUUAAAAAAAGCACUAACAUUAACAUAGUGGCAGCUAAGAAUAAAUCAUCUAACACAAAUACUUAUCAAAUUAAAAGAUCAUUAACGCAGUUCAAAUAAAUGAAAUUUCAGGUUGUUUGCAACAGCAUUCUUUACUGUUUUCCGCUGUUUUCUCAGAAACCAACCAACACAAAGCAGAUUCGGAAGAAUAAAAACACCAGUAUCAGAAGCUAAAAUCAAUUAAAACCAGUAAAAGAACAAAUUGAAAAAUAACAAUUAGAAGAGAAAGUAGAAGAUAAUCUAACCCCAUUGUGGCUGCGAAUCAGAGGCUGAAGGAGAGAGCUUGAUGGGCAGAGAAAGAAGCCCGGC